GAGCACGUCAACGCCUUCCUGCUCUGCGCAGACAGGGUGAAGGUCUCCACGUGAGGGGAGCCCUGGAAGCAGAAUUCGUCUUGAGGAGUGAAUGAGAAGUCUUUGUGUGCUCUGGACUCUGGUGCUGCUGCUGGGUUGGGUUGGUUGAGCCCCUCUGAAGAGCAAGGUGCAGCUCUGCAAGGUGGGAUUCUCAGUUGGGGGCACGCUGGGCUUGGCUCCAGCAACCAACUGGACCCUGACUGGGAUUGUCACCAUACAAGGGUGCUGCUAACGAUGGGGUUUGCUUGCUGAGUUGCCUCUAAAAGCUUGAUAAGUAAAUGAAUGACAGAACUGGGGUGAAGCGACACCAAAGGAUCAGCUGCGACCUGCAGAUGGCCUUGAAUAGGAACCCAAAGCAGAAAUCAGCCCUUCUCUCUUUCUCUGCAGCCUGUCUUCUCCAACACUUUGCUCGUUCAGCACAAUGUUUUCCUUCAUCCCAAUAAAAGAACAAAACCCUCCUUUCUGA